AGUGAACGCUGGCGGUAGGCCUAACACAUGCAAGUCGAACGGCAGCACAGUAAGAGCUUGCUCUUACGGGUGGCGAGUGGCGGACGGGUGAGGAAUACAUCGGAAUCUACUUUUUCGUGGGGGAUAACGUAGGGAAACUUACGCUAAUACCGCAUACGACCUACGGGUGAAAGCAGGGGAUCUUCGGACCUUGCGCGAUUGAAUGAGCCGAUGUCGGAUUGGCUAGUUGGCGGGGUAAAGGCCCACCAAGGCGACGAUCCGUAGCUGGUCUGAGAGGAUGAUCGGCCACACUGGAACUGAGACACAGUCCAGACUCCUACGGGAGGCAGCAGUGGGGAAUAUUGGACAAUGGGCGCAAGCCUGAUCCAGCCAUACCGCGUGGGUGAAGAAGGCCUUCGGGUUGUAAAGCCCUUUUGUUGUGAAAGAAAAGCAGCAGGUUAAUACCCCGCUGUUCUGACGGUACCCAAAGAAUAAGCACCGGCUAACUUCGUG
rnacentral:rRNA from 1 species